rnacentral:tRNA from 1 species
GUAAUUAUAGUUUAACAAAAACAUUAGAUUGUGGUUCUAAAAAUAAAAGUUAAACUCUUUUUAAUUACCC